UGAGCAAUCUGCCUAGAUGUGGGGGAUAGCCGGCCCAACGGCCGGGUAAUACCGCAUACGCUCUCCUGGUGGCAUCACCGGGUGAGGAAACUUUCGAGGCGUCUAGAGGAGCUCGCGGCCUAUCAGCUAGUUGGUGAGGUAAUGGCUCACCAAGGCUUUGACGGGUAGCUGGUCUGAGAGGAUAGCCAGCCACAUUGGGACUGAGAUACGGCCCAGACUCCGUAACGGGG
rnacentral:rRNA from 1 species